rnacentral:lncRNA from 10 species
CAGCCUCUGUCUGGUAAUUACUGUUCUACUCUCUGCUUCUAUGAGUUCAACUUAUUUAGAUUCCAUAUACAAGUGAGAUUACGUGGUAUUUGUCUUGCUGUGCCUGGCUUAUUUCACUUAAUGUCCUCCAGGUUCAUCCAUGUUGUCACAAAUGACAGGAUUUCCUUCUUUUUUCAAAAAGCUGAAUAGUACGCCAUUGUGUGCAUGUAUGACAUUUUCUUUAUUCAUCUGUUGGUGGAUACUUAGGUUGAUUCCAUACCCUGGCUAUUGUGAAUAAUGCUGCAGUGAACAUGGGAGUACAUACAUCUGUUUGAGAACUCAGAGUGGUUUUCCAGAUGGGAAUCACAUUGCUCUCUGUCCCUGAGAUCUUGCUGGAGACAGGGCUACUCAGUCCCUCUUUGCCAGGUAAUCUGUUCCAGAAGAAACAUGUGUCGUUCUGACUGAGCCCCUGCCUGUCUGUCACCUUAAGAGCCAGUCAAUUCAUAUGGUCCCCAUAUCAAAGUCUCCUGUGCCCAGAGAGAGGAUUUCAUUUCAACCAUCACCAUCACCACCAUCAUCAUCAUCACCAAGAGAUGUUGUUGAAUUGAUACUGGAAAAGCAGUUUCUAUUGAGCCCCCAAAUGAAGAGUGAGUGCAGAUGAAGAGGAGGCAGGACUCACAAGCCCUUGAACUUUAUUCCAGAUCUGUUAGCACCUACAGGACCCUGCACCAGGAUUUCAUCUGUACUAUCAGCUUCUUCAAAGAGAGAGAGGUUGUUGAG